rnacentral:lncRNA from 1 species
CACUCUCGAAGUUGAGAGUUCAGAUACCAUAGACAAUGUUAAGGCAAAGAUUCAAGACAAGGAAGGAAUCCCACCUGACCAGCAGCGUCUGAUUUUUGCUGGAAAGCAGCUGGAGGAUGGGCGUACCCUUGCUGAUUAUAACAUCCAGAAGGAGUCCACCCUCCAUUUGGUGCUCCGUCUCCGUGGUGGUAUGCAAAUAUUUGUGAAGACUCUCACUGGAAAGACAAUCACCCUUGAGGUGGAGAGCUCUGAUACCAUUGACAAUGUUAAGGCCAAGAUACAGGACAAAGAAGGUAUUCCACCAGACCAGCAGAGGCUCAUCUUUGCUGGAAAACAGCUUGAAGAUGGCAGAACCUUGGCUGACUACAACAUCCAGAAGGAGUCAACUCUCCAUCUUGUGUUGCGACUUCGCGGUGGUAUGCAGAUUUUUGUAAAGACCCUUACAGGAAAGACAAUUACUUUGGAGGUAGAGAGCUCAGAUACGAUUGACAAUGUAAAGGCAAAGAUUCAGGACAAAGAGGGUAUUCCCCCAGAUCAGCAGAGGCUCAUUUUUGCUGGAAAGCAGCUUGAAGAUGGCAGAACUCUUGCUGAUUACAACAUCCAGAAAGAGUCAACUCUUCACCUUGUCUUGCGUCUUCGUGGUGGUAUGCAGAUUUUUGUGAAGACUCUUACUGGCAAGACAAUUACUUUGGAGGUAGAGAGCUCGGACACAAUUGACAAUGUGAAGGCCAAGAUACAAGACAAGGAGGGUAUUCCCCCAGACCAGCAAAGGUUGAUUUUUGCUGGAAAGCAACUUGAAGACGGUCGAACUCUGGCUGAUUAUAAUAUCCAGAAAGAGUCGACUCUUCAUCUUGUCUUGCGGCUUCGUGGUGGUAUGCAGAUUUUUGUUAAGACCCUAACUGGAAAAACGAUUACUUUGGAGGUUGAGAGCUCAGACACAAUUGACAAUGUAAAGGCUAAGAUUCUGGACAAGGAGGGCAUUCCUCCAGACCAGCAAAGGUUGAUUUUUGCUGGAAAGCAGCUUGAAGAUGGAAGGACCUUGUCAGAUUAUAACAUCCAGAAGGAAUCAACCCUUCAUCUUGUCCUUCGUCUGAGGGGAGGCAUGCAGAUCUUUGUGAAGACUUUGACAGGAAAGACCAUUACAUUGGAGGUGGAAAGCUCUGACACCAUUGAUAAUGUUAAGGCUAAAAUACAGGAUAAGGAGGGAAUCCCACCAGAUCAGCAGAGGUUGAUCUUUGCUGGGAAGCAGCUUGAAGAUGGCCGGACUUUGGCUGAUUAUAACAUUCAGAAAGAGUCCACCCUUCACCUUGUCCUUCGUCUGAGGGGAGGUAUGCAGAUCUUUGUGAAGACAUUGACCGGAAAGACCAUCACCUUAGAGGUGGAAAGUUCAGACACUAUCGAUAAUGUCAAGGCAAAAAUCCAGGACAAGGAGGGAAUCCCCCCAGAUCAGCAGAGGUUGAUCUUUGCUGGGAAGCAAUUGGAGGAUGGAAGGACCCUUGCUGACUACAACAUUCAGAAGGAGUCUACUCUUCACCUUGUUUUGCGUCUUCGUGGUGGAUUUUAAGUAUUUGGGUUGUUUAGUUUUAUUUUAUUUUAUUGUGUGCUGUGUCCUAGCAGGUCUUUUUUCAGUUUGAGAACUUAUUGCAUGGGUCUUGGAUAAUGGCCUUUUACUUUAGCUUGUUGUGGUA